rnacentral:rRNA from 1 species
UAGGGAAUUUUUCACAAUGAGCGAAAGCUUGAUGGAGCAAUGCCGCGUGAACGAUGAAGGUCUUUAAGAUUGUAAAGUUCUUUUAUUUGGGAAGAAUAACUUUAGCAGGUAAUGGCUAGAGUUUGACUGUACCAUUUUGAAUAAGUGACGACUAACUAUGUGCCAGCAGUCGCGGUAAUACAUAGGUCGCAAGCGUUAUCCGGAUUUAUUGGGCGUAAAGCAAGCGCAGGCGGAUUGAAAAGUCUGGUGUUAAAGGCAGCUGCUUAACAGUUGUAUGCAUUGGAAACUAUUAAUCUAGAGUGUGGUAGGGAGUUUUGGAAUUUCAUGUGGAGCGGUGAAAUGCGUAGAUAUAUGAAGGAACACCAGUGGCGAAGGCGAAAACUUAGGCCAUUACUGACGCUUAGGCUUGAAAGCGUGGGGAGCAAAUAGGAUUAGAUACCCUAGUAGUCCACACCGUAAACGAUAGAUACUAGCUGUCGGGGCGAUCCCCUCGGUAGUGAAGUUAACACAUUAAGUAUCUCGCCUGGGUAGUACAUUCGCAAGAAUG